rfam:Melipona quadrifasciata isolate 0111107301 unplaced genomic scaffold scaffold289, whole genome shotgun sequence.
CAAAACUAUAAAAAUCUAUAGUUUAAUACUAUAAAACGUAUAGAUCUACCGGAAGGAUUGACAGAUUGAUAGCUCUUUCUUGAUUCGGUGGGUGGUGGUGCAUGGCCGUUCUUAGUUGGUGGAGCGAUUUGUCUGGUUAAUUCCGAUAACGAACGAGACUCUAGCCUGCUAAAUAGACGUGACUUAUGGUAUCUCGAAGGCCCCCGGCUUCGGUCGGUGGGUUUUUACUACCAACGUACAGGCAAAUCUUCUUAGAGGAACAGGCGGCUUCUAGCCGCACGGGAUUGAGCAAUAACAGGUCUGUGAUGCCCUUAGAUGUUCUGGGCCGCAGGCGCGCUACACUGAAGGAAUCAGCGUGUUUUCCCUGGCCGAAAGGCCCGGGUAACCCGCUGAACCUCCUUCGUGCUAGGGAUUGGGGCUUGCAAUUAUUCCCCAUGAACGAGGAAUUCCCAGUAAGCGCGAGUCAUAAGCUCGCGUUGAUUACGUCCCUG